UGAGGAAUACAUCGGAACGUGUCUUUAAGUGGGGGAUAACGCAUCGAAAGGUGUGCUAAUACCGCAUAAUCUCUGAGGAGAAAAGUAGGGGAUCGCAAGACCUUGCGCCUUUGGAGCGGCCGAUGUCUGAUUAGCUUGUUGGUGAGGUAAAGGCUUACCAAGGCUUCGAUCAGUAGCUGGUCUGAGAGGACGGCCAGCCACACUGGGACUGAGACACGGCCCAGACUCCUACGGGAGGCAGCAGUGGGGAAUUUUGGACAAUGGGGGCAACCCUGAUCCAGCCAUGCCGCGUGAGUGAAGAAGGCCUUCGGGUUGUAAAGCUCUUUCAGCCGGAACGAAACGGUUACGAUUAAUACCCGUAACUACUGACGGUACCGGAAGAAGAAGCACCGGCUAACUACGUGCCAGCAGCCGCGGUAAUACGUAGGGUGCGAGCGUUAAUCGGAAUUACUGGGCGUAAAGCGUGCGCAGGUGGUUUUGUAAGUCAGAUGUGAAAUCCCCGGGCUUAACCUGGGAACUGCGUUUGAAACUACAAGGCUAGAGUGUGGCAGAGGGGGGUGGAAUUCCGCGUGUAGCAGUGAAAUGCGUAGAGAUGUGGAGGAACACCGAUGGCGAAGGCAGCCCCCUGGGUCAACACUGA
rnacentral:rRNA from 1 species